rnacentral:rRNA from 1 species
AUUGAACGCUGGCGGCAUGCUUUACACAUGCAAGUCGAACGGUAACAGGCCGCAAGGUGCUGACGAGUGGCGAACGGGUGAGUAAUGCAUCGGAACGUGCCCAGUCGUGGGGGAUAACUACUCGAAAGAGUAGCUAAUACCGCAUACGAUCUAUGGAUGAAAGCGGGGGACCGUAAGGCCUCGCGCGAUUGGAGCGGCCGAUGUCAGAUUAGGUAGUUGGUGGGGUAAAGGCUCACCAAGCCAACGAUUUGUAGCUGGUCUGAGAGGACGACCAGCCACACUGGGACUGAGACACGGCCCAGACUCCUACGGGAGGCAGCAGUGGGGAAUUUUGGGCAAUGGGCGCAAGCCUGAUCCAGCAAUGCCGCGUGCAGGAAGAAGGCCUUCGGGUUGUAAACUGCUUUUGUACGGAACGAAACGGCUCUGGUUAAUACCCGGGGCUAAUGACGGUACCGUAAGAAUAAGCACCGGCUAACUACGUG